GACAAGGUACGAUAAGGCCUGUUUUUGCCCCCCCUUACUUUCUCAUUUUUCUAAAUAUAUUAACAUUAUUUUUUAACAUAAUAAGCUUUCCAAAAUGAGAAAAUAGGGGGGGGGGGGGGCAAAAAAGGCCUUAUCGUACCUUGUC
rnacentral:sRNA from 1 species